rnacentral:rRNA from 1 species
AUACGUAGGGGGCGCGCGUUGUCCGGAAUUACUGGGCGUAAAGAGCUCGUAGGUGCUUUGUCGCGUCGUCUGUGCAAUUCUGGGGCUUAACUCCGGGCGUGCAGGCGAUACGGGCAUAACUUGAGUACUGUAGGGGAGACUGGAAUUCCUGGUGUAGCGGUGAAAUGCGCAUAGAUCAGGUGGGACACCGGAGGCGAAGGCGGUAUUGUGGGUAGUAAAUGACGCUGAGGAGCGAAGCCAUGGGUAGCGAGCAGUAUUAUUUCCCUUGAUUAUCCGGGGCGAAACGAGAGGUUGCAAGUUGUACUGGUCGUCCCGAUUUCGUGCUCCUUAGAUAACAUAUUGUUCGCCCGUGCUGGCGAGCUCCGCCGCAACGCUGAGACUCGAAUGACUUGAAGGUG